rnacentral:rRNA from 1 species
GAUGAAUGCUGGCGGCGUGCCUAACACAUGCAAGUCGAACGAGACCUUCGGGUCUAGUGGCGCACGGGUGCGUAACGCGUGGGAACCUGCCUUUAGGUUCGGAAUAACUCAGAGAAAUUUGAGCUAAUACCGGAUAAUGUCUUCGGACCAAAGAUUUAUCGCCUUUAGAUGGGCCCGCGUAAGAUUAGCUAGUUGGUGGGGUAAAGGCCUACCAAGGCGACGAUCUUUAGCUGGUCUGAGAGGAUGAUCAGCCACACUGGGACUGAGACACGGCCCAGACUCCUACGGGAGGCAGCAGUGGGGAAUAUUGGACAAUGGGCGAAAGCCUGAUCCAGCAAUGCCGCGUGAGUGAUGAAGGCCUUAGGGUUGUAAAGCUCUUUUACCCGAGAUGAUAAUGACAGUAUCGGGAGAAUAAGCUCCGGCUAACUCCGUGCCAGCAGCCGCGGUAAU